CAAACGGCGUACGAGCUGAAUGCUUUAUCAGCACAAUGGAAGGAACUCUGUGAGAAGAACAUUGCAAUUGAAGCUGCAUGUGUCCAAGUUGAAAACCAUCUUGAACAAUUAAAAUCAGAAGCAGCAGAGAGAGGCUGGAAUCUCGAUACUAAUAUGGAGAAUGGCUCUUCUGUGCCUUGAGGAUGGACGAUUAGAUGGAAACACUGUUGAAUAGGGCGUACAUUUCUGGAAAAAGAUUUUGAAUCCGUCCCAAAAUACGCCAAUUGGUCUUUAAAUGUUGGUUGUAUACGUGAUAAUGGGUUUGUAGCCUUAAAUGUUUCCUUCCAUGAUUUUGUAGUUCAUGCAGAUUAGAUUCUGAUUGUAUGUCAUGAACAAUGUUGCAGAAUUUUCUAUUACUUUGCUUGUUGGUUCUAUAAAAAGGGAAGUUAACCGAGUUACUUUUAGUUUGCCGAAUCAUAAUUAAAGCUUCUAACCUGAAGUGAAUGUGGUGAAGCAUCUGAUCCGUGGGUUUUUGUCGUGGCUGUCGAGUUGGGCGCGUCUUUGUCAUCCCUAUCACUGGAUC
rnacentral:lncRNA from 1 species